AAGGGCACCACAAGAACGCGUGGAGCAUGUGGCUUAAUUUGACUCAACGCGGGAAAUCUUACCGGGUCCGGACACACUGAGGAUUGACAGGCAAUAUUAUUUAAAUAUUUUGACACGUCAUUUCGGUGAUGUGGAUUUUUAUUUUUAUAUGUAAAUAUGCUAGUCCUUUCAUGAUUAUGUGAUAGGUGGUGCAUGGCCGUUCUUAGUUCGUGGAGUGAUCUGUCUGCUUAAUUGCGUUUCACUAAGAGCUUAUCAAUUACGUAUGUCUCGCUCGCAUAUUUUGACCCCCAUUUCUUUUUUAGCAUUUGGUUUUUUCAAUUUGUUUUCGGACAUUUUGUUAAAAUCAGUUAUUAAAGAAUUGUGCGCGUGUCAUUUAUGUAUCCAGCAGCAUACAAUUAAGCUCUGAAAGCAACGAACGUGACCGCAACCUCUUGUUGCCUCUAAUUUUAUCAUGGUUUUGAUUAAUUAAUUUUAAAAAUGUUUUGAAAGAAAACUUGUUUUCUGGAUGAAUGUUUUUUUAGUUUUUUUUUUAUAUGACCUGAGUCAAAGAGGCUUUAAAACUAGAGGGACCGCUGUAACUUUUUUAAACCAGAGGAAGGUUGCGGCAAUAACAGGUCUGUGAUGCCCUUAGAUGUUCCGGGCUGCACACGUGCUACAAUGAUUAUUGCAGUGAGCAUCUCAUAAAUAACACCGCAGUUAGCUAAUUUUUAAUGGCUUUAUUUUGAACCUCAUUUUUUUUUUUUUUGGAAAUGGAUAGUUUCUUCGGAAAUUUGAAGUUUUUAAGAAGAAUGGAGUGUUUUUGGGAUUUAGUUUCAUUUUUUAUUCAGCAAUACUCGGUUAAGCCUGCUUCGAAAGUAAGUAGGUAAUCAAUUAGAAGUAAUGAUUUCCCAAAUUUUAGCACACCUAUAUGCAGCGUUUAUACCCGGAUAUGAGCUUGUCUUGUAUCUUUGUGCGUAUAGAUGUUUUUUCUGCAUGUGCUUUUAUCAAUUCAAGGUGGGGACAGACCAUUGUUAAUUGUUGGUCUCGGUCUUAACUAGGAAUGCCUUGUACGGGUCUUUGGUUCAACAAACCACCCGGAAUACGUCCCUGCCCUUUGUACACACCGCCCGUCGCUCUUACCGAUGGACUUCUCUGUGAGUUUGAGGGACUGGAUAUUUAAUUUUUUUUUCUUUGAAUUAAAAAUUAAUCUUCUAUGGAAACUUAAACGAACAGUGUGGUCUAAAGGAAAGAGAAGUCGUAACAAGGCAUCGGUAGGUGAACCUGCAGAAGGAUCA
rnacentral:rRNA from 1 species